GUUUAUUUGUCAUUAAUAGAUUGUACGCUAAACUAGUAAUAAUUCAUAAGUAAUAAUGUAAUGAUAAUAAUAAUGUAGCUCUUAUAUACUUAGGUAAGUACUCUUGUAAUGUAUUUUAAAAAAAUGACAAACUUUAUAUAUUUUAUUUCUUUGGUGUUAUAUUUAUUAAUCCUCAAUAUUUCAGGUAAAUAAAAUGUACAAAAUAAUAUAUUUUACAAAACAAAAAUGUAGUGGCUCUAAAAAAUAAUAUAAUAUAACUGUCUUGUAUAGAACUCGUCAAAAAUUAGUUAUGAAAUAUUCCAAUAGUUGAAAUUGAUCAAGUAAUGAGUUAACACAAUACAAGUAAUAAAUCAUAAUUAUUCAUAAUACCUACCUAUACCUACAUUUUUAGAAAACCUUUGCUACAAAUGAUGAACAAUAAUAUACACAGUGUACCUGUAUACUAUACCUAGUGUACCUACACGUAACCUAAAUAUGUAAAUGUAACAUUUUUAAGAAAGAACAUUUUAUUUGAAAAUCGUACACAUUUAGGUAUUUUAUUUUACAUUUUUUUUCUUAUUGUACCCAAUGGUUUAUACUAUAAUUUUCUAAGCAUAAUCUUAUUUAGGCAUUUUUUUUUAUGUAAUUUAUUUAAUAUACAAUAGUCGGUAGGUACUUACCUUAUUGAAUAUUUUGUAUUUGUUAUAUAGACACCGAAUAGUUAAGAACAUUAAAACUCGUAUUACCUUCUACAAAAUUAUUUAUUGUUCGAAAAGCAGUUUUGUAGGUACUUAAGAGGACGUUAAAUGUAAAUCUUUUCUUAUUCAACAGUCAAGAAAUCUAAAAAUGUGUUUUUAUACUUUAAAUGGUGAUUUCUCAAUUUGCCGACUCCCAGUUGCUGACUCCAAAUUCGCCGAAAAUCAGAUUCACGCCGUUUUAAUAAAAUAAAAUGUCAUUCAAAUUUACAUCACUAGUUAUAUCAAUCAAUAUGAGCCAUAUUUUGUAAAUUAAUAAUGAAAUAAAUUUAUCAAAAAAAAAAAAAUAUUUAUAUAUAUAUAUAUAAUUUUGUAUACCUUCAAUACUAAUAAUAAUAAUAAUAAUAAUAACAAUAAUAAUAAAAUAUACAAAUUAUGUAUGGAUGUGGUAUUUUAUAGUAUCAACAUACCUAAUUAUUGUUAUUUCGUUUUUUCUUAACCUGUAAAAUAUAUGUAAAUAUACAAUUUUAAAAUCAAUCAACAAACUAAAAUCAUAAUUUUUAUCUAAUAAUCACAGCGGCCAGUAGACUUUUCAGUAAUUUAUAUACCUAGCUAUAUAAUAAUAUAAUACCUACAUUGAUUGAUGGCAUAAAUCGUGUGAUAGGUAUAAUGAUAAAAAAAACUUGUUUUGUUAGACAGUAAAUAGUGUAUAAACCUUAUAUUUGUAUAAAUUGCAAUGAUAAUAUUAUCAUCGUUGUGGGCGAGUUGGGAUAUACUUAAAAAUCAUUAAAAACUGAUUUUUUUGGUUGAAUAACCUGGUAUUAGCGAAUUGGGAGUUGGCAAACUGGGAACAAACCCUUUCAAUAGUAGGCACAAUUUGAAAGGGGAUUUUUUGUCACGCGUCUCCAUAUAUAUAUAUAAAACGCGUUUUAAUAAAUGUGUAUUACUUAAACACAAAUUAAGGGGGAUUUCUAGACACCCAAAACCUCUCCCCACCCCGGGUUACGCCACUGGGUUUUUCUGGUAUAUAGUCCGUUAGAUAGACAGAGGUGACAAAAUAAAUGUACUUCCGACUUCCUCUUAAUAACAACAAUAAUUUUUUUUAAUGCAAUAGCUCACUUACAGAGACACCUAAUGGAUUACAAUUAUUAUCCUAUAUAUUAUUAUUUAUUACUAUAUUUUUUAAUUUAGUUUUAUCGUAUCGGUUUUAUAGGAAUUAUCUGUAAUGAUGACGAAAAACCCAUCAGUGGCGUAUCUAAAGAUAAUGACAAUCAGUGUUCAAUCAAUGACUAUUGUUGUUCUAGAAAUUGCCGUUUUUCGAUCGAUUUCAAUAAAUAUUGCCGACGCCUUUAAUGAAAAUAUUACGCACGGUCUCAGGUAUUACCUAUUUAAUAUUUUACUAUAAUAAAAUAUAUUACAUGCGUACUUAUAGUCGUAUACUCUUAUUCUUCGUUUUCUUAUAUGGUUUUGACUACUCCUUAAAGGUCUCAUACACUAUCAUUUAAAAUUGUUAGCUUAUGUAUGUAAAUAAGUCAUAAGUGAUAAUCUUUUUUGAUAAAUGAUGAAUUCCAAACAUGUUUGAUUGUUUGUAAACAAUCAUAGUAAUUGACAAUCAUGACUGCUGACCAUGUGUAUUAAUAAUUGAGACGCGUUAUCAGUCAAAAUCAAAUUUUCAAAUCUUUAUUGUGUUUAAAUUCAUUCUUUUAACCAUAUCCGAUUUUUUUGUUUCAUUUCUUCCCUUCAUUUGAAUUAUCUGUUGCCAAAACUACAAUUAUUACAAUGCUUCUUCUAUUUAUAGUCAUUUAGAAUUUAUAAAAAUUUUAAUGUAAACAUAAACACAAAAACAUAUGUACAUAUUUAAACCUAAUCUAUCUAUAUCUUUGGUGGCCAUACCUGAGAGGAGGUUUUGGGGUUCAACCCGUCCUUAAAAAUUGUUCGUGAUAUAUUAUGUUGUGGGAAGAUAAUUAUUUUUAGUCAAUAAAAUUAGAACACCACACAUUUUAAGUUUACAAUUUCCCCUCCAAAAUUAUUUUCCAGUUAUGGCAUGGUUUGGUGGCAUUUAUUUCUUAAACAAUUUGAAAUGAAGAAUUGUUUGUAUCUUACUAUGUAUGUCAAAAUUGAUAUUCACGAAAAAUUGAUAAUCUUCAAUCUUAAUCGUGUGUGGGCCCCUUAAAAAUAAUUUUUGUCGCCAAAAAAUCUAGAGAUUUAUCCUUGUCUUGGACUACAUUUUUGCCUUCUGCUUUCCAGAUUCUUAAGGUCAAACUUUUCCAGAGUCUCCACCCACGAUGUUUCCAAUCUAUAGCACUGCUAUAAUAUUAGUAACAUUUUCAUUGUCUCCUCUCCUCGUUGUAUAUGGCUCGUUAUAGUCAUUAGAGCCAUCGUACCUAUAUUUUAUUAUGCAAACACGAUUUUAUUUAUAUACCCUUUAUGUUUUUAUAUUAUUUCAUGACGGUCACACAGUUGAUGACGCGCAGUGCGUAUACUAUAAUCCGAAUGUGCCGCAUGUUGUUCUUAGAGAAUUAAACGCGACCCACGCAAACCGCUGUGGCAGAAGUGGCUAUUGACUAUACUCGUAGAACUGCACUCGUCGAAAUUUCAAACCGUGCGCAAAUACCGAAAAUUAUUGUACCUGUCCGAAGAAGCCGCGAAAGUGUUAAGAAUCACACAAGACAAUCUAGUACCUUGCAAAAUAACCAUACCGUUGUGUGAAAAUUAUCUUCUUUUCAAAUAUCUAAUUUAUUUUUUACCCUAAAUCUUCAUAUUAUGUAUGUUUUCCAUCAUUUUUACACUAAUAUAGUUGCCUUAUAACCGUAGACACAAUUAGGGGGGGGACUUGGGUGUAUGCUUAGCAACCCAAAACAAUUACGAUGUUAUUAUAAAGAAAAUUAUUUUUAUUGAAAGGAAAAUAAUUAAAAUAAUAAUAAUGGUUUAUUGGUUUCUAAUUUUCUAUUCGUUUUGUGAGUAUUCCUGUUGAAUUAUUAGAUAUUUUAUAUACAAUUUUAACAAAAUAUGUAAGGCAAUAAUAUAAUGAUAUAAUUUGUUUAUUUAUGAAAUAGUUUUUCCAAUGUUUUGUUAUCUUUUAUGGAUUUCGUUAGCCACAGUCUAUAUACCAAAGAAGUAUAUAUACCAUAUUCAACGAUUGACUAUUACUAAUAAAAACCGAUUCGGAAAAAAGUUAGGUGACAUAUUUUGAAAUGCCGUAAUAAUUACGUAAUUAUUAUGAUUUUCGUCAAAAUCUGAUCUUAAAACACUAUUGAAAAAAAAAAAAUAACGCAUUAAACUCAAAUUUGUUUUUUUUAGAACACUAACCACAACGUUUAAUGUUUUAACCUUGUGUUAAAUUUCCAUGCAUUUCUGUUGAGUUUAAUAAUUUUAUUUACCAAAUAAAAAUUACGUAAAAAACUAACAAAGUUAAAAUAUGAGUAUUUUGUGAAAACAACAAGUCUCUUUGCAUGUUUUAAGAGAUUAUAAAUUCGAAAUAUAUCAUCAAACUGUCUCGUUUUUUUAUAAUUAAUUAUACAACAUAAGUUACGUUAAAAUAUAAUAUUGCAUAUGCAUAUGAAUAAUAGAAAAUAUAUAUUACAAAGAAAUAUUUAAGUAAGGGCUUUUUAUAAAUAAAUAUAAAUCAAUUUCAAAUGUUCGGUAUUAUUAUGCAGAUGAGUAAAGUAAAUUAAGUAUUUGUCACAAAAUGACAAAGAUUCUAUGGUACUUAAUUCAGAGAUCAUUUUGGAUUUUCUAUAAACCAACGACUGAGCAACUGUUCUACAUAUUUUAAUUUAUUUUUUCAACCAAUAGUUAAUAUAUGUAGUACAAUAGAAGAGAGUAAGUAGCACUUAUUAUAUUUUAUAAAUUGCGUCCCUGCCUAUUAUAUUAUUAGUUAUAAUAGAUACAAUAGUAAAUAAAUAUUAUAUACAUUAUAAGGUAGUCAUGUUGCUUAUAUAUUGGUGUAUUGUUUGUGUUAAUUAUUUUCAAUUUUAUUUUAGAUUAGGAGUAUACCGAGGGAUUCAUAUCUUGCUUCGAUUAUCAAGUGUAACAGCUUUUUUGAGAGGAAAUUUUAUCUAAUUGAUGUUUUGAGAAGGUCAUUUUUUGGUUUUCUUUGAAGCUGUUUUAAAAAUAAUUGGGAAAAACCGAAAAGAAAAUUAUAGGUAAAGCGGAAACUUGGCGUCCUAGUUUCAUUAUUUUAAUAAUUUCAAACGAUGUUAGUCCCCUUUUCGUUUGGCGGAAAUGAGUGGGAACGAAAAUCAAGUUUUUUUGGCAGAAACAACUGACGUUCUUUAUAAUAGUCAUAUAUACGCGUACUUUCGAAAACAAUUGGUGAUAGAAAAGUUGUAAGCAAAAAAAAAAGCUGUACUAAAAUACUAGGGACGAGUGCAGUCACUAUUGUAGAAGAAAAGUUGGGAAGGUAGUAGAGGGGAAAUUUAAUGCAUAUCUGUACGCAAUGAUUAACCAUUGCUAACAAAAAAACGAAGUUGACCGGAGUUCGUUUGAUAGUGUUGCUCUGUCAACAAUAUAUAAUAUGUCAUAUUAUAGAAAAAUAAUUACAUAUGCAGUAUAUAUUUCCUGAAAUAAUAUUUUUUUAAUAUUGUACCUAAUUUACCAUUUUUCCUAAGUUUUUUCCAUUCAUUGGGAAAACUCCAGAAUAAAUCAAAAAAUGACGGCCUUUAAGUACCACUCCAGUCAGAUUUCCUUUAUGAAAAAGUGCUAUUAUUGUAAAUUGGAGCAAAGUUGCUUGUAGAAAAGUUGUUCGCAGGAAAAAAAAAGCCGUAAUAUUUUUUUACUAAUUCCUACAUUUCGUACAUUCUUGCGUUUUUUUCCGGUUCUUCCCAUUUAUUGGGACAACUUCUGGGAAAACCAUAAAAGGAUCUCCCUAAAGCACCAUUUCAGUUUGAAAAAUAAACAUCAUUGUAAAACUCGCUUCACUCGGAAUAUAAAACAAAAACAAGCAAACUAUAUAUUGAAACUUAAAAAAUUAAAUAAAUUUAUA
rnacentral:lncRNA from 1 species